rnacentral:rRNA from 1 species
UACAGAGGGGGCAAGCGUUGUUCGGAAUUACUGGGCGUAAAGGGCGCGUAGGCGGCCUUCUAAGUCGAACGUGAAAUCCCCGGGCUCAACCCGGGAACUGCGUCCGAUACUGGAAGGCUUGAAUCCGGGAGAGGGAUGCGGAAUUCCAGGUGUAGCGGUGAAAUGCGUAGAUAUCUGGAGGAACACCGGUGGCGAAAGCGACUUCCUGGACCAAUACUGACGCUCAUGUGCGAAAGCGUGGGGAGCAAACAGG